CCUACGGGUGGCAGCAGUGGGGAAUAUUGCACAAUGGGGGAAACCCUGAUCCAGCGACGCCGCGUGAGCGAUGAAGUAUUUCGGUAUGUAAAGCUCUAUCUGCAGGGAAAUAGAUGACGGUACCUGUCCACGCAUCUCCGUCCAACUACGUGCCAGCAGCCGCGGUAAUACGGCGGCGGCCAGCGUUAUCCGGAUGUACUGGGUGUAAUGGGAGCGUAGACGGUGAUGAAAGCCAGAUGGGAAAGUCCGGGGCUCAACCCCAGGGCUGUAUUUGGAACUGUGUGGCUGGAGUGGCGGAGAGGCAGGCGGAAUUCGUAGUGUAGCGGUGAAAUGCGUAGAUAUUAGGAGGAACACCAGUUGCGAAGGCGGCCUGCUGGACGAUGACUGACGUUGAGGCUCGAAAGCGUGGGGAGCAAACAGGAUUAGAUACCCCAGUAGUC
rnacentral:rRNA from 1 species